CAGAAGAGGAGGCCGCAGAAGCGCGCGGCUCUGCGGACCCAGAUGGAGCCAGCAGCGGCCGCAGCCCCAGGGGCUGAGCAGGCCUCCCAGAGGGCGAGGGAGUUCAAGGGCCUGGGGGCCCACACAGUGCAGUCAGGCCCACGUGCCAUGUCCCAGAGCUUUGCAGACAAGAACCUGCUACCCCUGACACCCCGGCAGCUGGCAGGUAAGGGCUCAGGACUGGAAGCUGGGAGGAAAACCAGGGGGUGCUCAGAGCAGAAUGCAACCGACUUGGCUGCCCAGGGGCUGGGAAGGCUGUGAGAAGCCAAGCCAGUGAUUGUAUUGGAACCUUCUCUCCCUGCCAGUCAGACUUGCUCAUCUCUGCUACCCCAGGGUUCACUGCUGGGGGUGGGUGGGGGAGUGUGAAGAAGGGAUGGAUGGAUGGAUUGGUGGAUAGAAAGUAUUUAGAGGAGUUCCUGUCGUGGCUCAGUGAUUAACGAAUCUGACUAGGAACGAUGAGGUUAUGGGUUCGAUCCCUGUCCUUGCUCAGUGGGUCAAGGAUCCGGUAUUGCUGUGGGCUGUGGUGUAGGUUGCAGAUGUGGCUCAGAUCCAGCGCUGCUAUGGCUCUGGCAUAGGCUUGGCGGCUACAGCUCCGAUUAGACCCCUAGCCUGGGUGUGGCCCUAGAAAAGGCAAAAAGACAAAAAAAAAAAAAAGAAAGAAAGAAACAAAGAAAGUAUUUAGAUAGUGGAUGGAUGGAUGGUGGAUGAAUGAACAGAAUGGAAGGAAGAAGGGAAACUGGGAGAAAGGAUGGAAAAAAAGAAUCUGAGGUCCCCACGCUGCUGGGGUUUGGGGCUGUGGGGGCUGUGAGUAGGGGUGGAAGGAAUCCCAAUGCCCUUGCCAAGAUCGUGCCCUGAUAUUGGCAGGGACCCCUCAAAGCAGAAUCAUUCUAUUCAUCAUCAGUGAUUUUCAGUACCUGCUAUGUGCCAGGCGCCAGCAGCGCUCAAGGAGCCCUCAGGCACUGUCUCCAGGGCCAGACUGCUGGCGUCCAAAGCCCAGCAUUACCCCUACUGGAGACAUGACCUUGGACAUGAGUUUUUAAUGUUUUUCAUAUAAACAUGUCCAAACGUGAGUUUUCAACACGAGAAUUGAAUGGACACGUAACAAGUGCCAACACACAGCAGCCACUGUUUUCUUUACAUUGUUAUAAUACCCAGGGGGUUGGUGGAUUCCAGUCUUGUCUCAUCCGGGCCACAGUGGGCGAAUCUCAGUGUUCCUGUGUGUGCUCUUUACCUGCUGCCUUUCCCCCUCCCGGCCCCUAGC
rnacentral:lncRNA from 1 species